GACGUAGGGCGCGAGCGUUGUCCGGAUUUAUUGGGCGUAAAGAGCUCGUAGGCGGCUUAGCAAGUCGGGUGUGAAAACUCCAGCUCAACCUGGAGACGCCACUCGAGACUGCUAUGGCUAGAGUCCGGUAGGGGACCACGGAAUUCCUGGUGUAGCGGUGAAAUGCGCAGAUAUCAGGAGGAACACCGGUGGCGAAGGCGGGU
rnacentral:rRNA from 1 species